CCACCAGACCCCCGGUAGCACCGGGGCAGGGGGGUGUCACAACAGGCCAUGUGCAUGCGCAGACGGAGGUGCUGGACGAGGACCGGCGGCUGGUGAGCGCUGUGGACUACUACUUCAUCCAGGAGGAUGGGAGCCGCUUCAAGGUGGCCCUGCCCUACAAGCCGUACUUCUACAUCGCUACCCAGAAGGGCUGUGAACGAGAAGUGUCCUCCUUCCUCUCCAAGAAGUUUCAAGGGAAAAUUUCAAAGCUGGAAACUGUCCCCAAGGAAGAUUUGGAUCUGCCAAAUCACUUGGUGGGUCUUAAGCGGAACUACAUUAAACUAUCCUUCAACACGGUGGAUGACUUAGUGAAGGUGCGGAAAGAGAUCUCUCCUGCUGUGAGGAAAAACAGAGAGCGAGACCAGG
rnacentral:lncRNA from 1 species